rnacentral:rRNA from 1 species
GACGAACGCUGGCGGCGUGCUUAACACAUGCAAGUCGAGCGGUAAGGCCCUUUCGGGGGUACACGAGCGGCGAACGGGUGAGUAACACGUGGGUGACCUGCCCUCAGCUCUGGGAUAAGCCCGGGAAACUGGGUCUAAUACUGGAUAUGACUCCAUGACGCAUGUUGUGGGGUGGAAAGCCUUGUGCGGCUGAGGAUGGGCCCGCGGCCUAUCAGCUUGUUGGUGGGGGAUGGCCUACCAAGGCGACGACGGGUAGCCGGCCUGAGAGGGCGACCGGCCACACUGGGACUGAGACACGGCCCAGACUCCUACGGGAGGCAGCAGGUGGGGAAUCUUGCGCAAGUGGGCGAAAGCCUGACGCAGCGACGCCGCGUGA